UACGUAGGCAGCGAGCGUUGUUCGGAAUUACUGGGCGUAAAGAGUGUGUAGGCGGUGCUCUAAGUUCGGUGUGAAAUCUCCUGGCUCAACUGGGAGGGUGCGCCGGAAACUGGAGUGCUUGAGCGUGGGAGAGGAAAGCGGAAUUCCUGGUGUAGCGGUGAAAUGCGUAGAUAUCGGGAGGAACACCUGUGGCGAAAGCGGCGCACUGGACCACUUCUGACGCUGAGGCGCGAAAGCUAGGGGAGCAAACAGG
rnacentral:rRNA from 1 species